CUCAUGAAUCAGCCGCCGUUCUUUGGAACCACCGUCUGAGCACUCUUGUCAUGAAGUCAUUUCAAAAUGGAAUGUUGAUUGCUCACAAAACCAAUGGAAUGUAAUUAAAUCGUGAUCUUACGCCCACACAUAUUUCCUAAUUGUUAUACAAAUCGCCAAGCGAAGGCAUCUCUCUCUACUUGUGUUUUGCUGUGGUGCUAAAUCUGUGCCCAAGGACCCCUGCUUGCCUUGCUUAUGCUUCGUAGCAGCUUCUAUGUAUGAAGUAUUUACCAUGUGUAAUGCAUGCGUAAUGAUUAUCCAAAUGCGUUGAGCAAAGUGCAGUUCUUUGCUGCCUCCAAGUUCAUCACCUGACUGGACUUCUGCAAUUUGAUUGGUCAAGACGGAAUUCCGUCUUGGCACAUAAAACGAUGACAAGAGUGCUCAGACGGUGGUUCCAAAAGAACGGCGGCUGAUUCAUGAGACUAGCCAUCAGCAAGUCAAGAAUGUUUAUGACCAGAAGCUCAAUUCGCCUGGGAUGGCAAACUCUAGCCAACUCUUCUUAAGGCCACUAAAAGAUUGAUCAGCUUACCAGGAGGUGACAGGCAGCGUACAAAGUAUGACCACCAGUACCUUGAUGUUGAGGAAAAGAGACUUUGUAGUUUACAUUGCAAACAUUGAUUAUUAUUAAUUUAUUGUACAUACAUGUAGGCUUAAUUAUAUAAUUAUACUAUACAUUCA